rnacentral:rRNA from 1 species
GUAGGUGGCAAGCGUUGUCCGGAAUUAUUGGGGCGUAAAGCGCGCGCAGGCGGUUCUUUAAGUCUGAUGUGAAAGCCCACGGGCUCAACCGUGGAGGGUCAUUGGAAACUGGAGAACUUGAGUACAGAAGAGGAAAGCGGAAUUCCACGUGUAGCGGUGAAAUGCGUAGAGAUGUGGAGGAACACCAGUGGCGAAGGCGGCUUUCUGGUCUGUAACUGACGCUGAGGCGCGAAAGCGUGGGGAGCAAACAGGAUUAGAUACCCUGGUAGUCCACGCCGUAGACGAUGAGUGCUAAGUGUUAGGGGGUUUCCGCCCCUUAGUGCUGCAGCUAACGCAUUAAGCACUCCGCCUGGGGAGUACGGCCGCAAGGCUG